rnacentral:misc_RNA from 1 species
AAUACCUCUCAAGCAUAUUUGCUUGGUUGUGGAAGAAGAGUAUGCCAGCAUUCUCCCUUCUGAAAUUGAAAGGCGGAUCGUAGCAUAUUCCGUGGCGUAGUAAGUUUAUCUUGUCGCUCGGAGUGCGUGCAAUUGUCCUGCCAUCAAACCCCCAAUUCUUCAA